rnacentral:rRNA from 1 species
CUCGAUGAGUAGGGCGGGACACGUGGUAUCCUGUCUGAAUAUGGGGGGACCAUCCUCCAAGGCUAAAUACUCCUGACUGACCGAUAGUGAACCAGUACCGUGAGGGAAAGGCGAAAAGAACCCCGGCGAGGGGAGUGAAAAAGAACCUGAAACCGUGUACGUACAAGCAGUGGGAGCCCCACCACUAAGCCAGUGGUGAACUCCACAUACGCAUCCUUUGCUGAGGAUACGGUUAACGGAGCGAAAGCGACGUUCAACCGCAAAAGAAGCAGAGGGGGCUUAGUGGUGGGGUGACUGCGUACCUUUUGUAUAAUGGGUCAGCGACUUAUAUUCUGUAGCAAGGUUAACCGAAUAGGGGAGCCGGAGGGAAACCGAGUCUUAACCGGGCGUUAAGUUGCAGGGUAUAGACCCGAAACCCGGUGAUCUAGCCAUGGGCAGGUUGAAGGUUGGGUAACACUAACUGGAGGACCGAACCGACUAAUGUUGAAAAAUUAGCGGAUGACCUGUGGCUGGGGGUGAAAGGCCAAUCAAACCGGGAGAUAGCUGGUUCUCCCCGAAAGCUAUUUAGGUAGCGCCUCGUGAAUUCAUCUCCGGGGGUAGAGCACUGUUUCGGCUAGGGGGCCAUCCCGGCUUACCAACCCGAUGCAAACUGCGAAUACCGGAGAAUGUUAUCACGGGAGACACACGGCGGGUGCUAACGUCCGUCGUGAAGAGGGAAACAACCCAGACCGCCAGCUAAGGUCCCAAAGUCAUGGUUAAGUGGGAAACGAUGUGGGAAGGCCCAGACAGCCAGGAUGUUGGCUUAGAAGCAGCCAUCAUUUAAAGAAAGCGUAAUAGCUCACUGGUCGAGUCGGCCUGCGCGGAAGAUGUAACGGGGCUAAACCAUGCACCGAAGCUGCGGCAGCGAACGUAUCACUUAAAGCGAUUCAGCGGGUUACGAUUGACGG